AUUGAACGCUGGCGGCAGGCCUAACACAUGCAAGUCGGGCGAGAGGCGGACGGGUGAGUAAUGUAUGGGGAUCUGCCUGAUGGAGGGGGAUAACGACCGGAAACGGUAGCUAAUACCGCAUACCAUCAGAUGAUCCAAUAUGGGAUUAGCUAGUAGGUGAGGGAACGGCUGACCAAGGCGACGAUCCCUAGCUGGUCUGAGAGUAUGAUCACCCACACUGGAACUGAGACACGGCCCAGACUCCUACGGGAGGCAGCAGUGGGGAAUAUUGCACAAUGGGCGCAAGCCUGAUGCAGCCAUGGCGCGUGUAUUAAGAAGGCAUUCGGAUUGUAAAGUACUUUCAGUCGUGAGGCGUUACCGACAGAAGAAGCACCGGCUAACUCCGUGCCAGCAGCCGCGGUAAUUC
rnacentral:rRNA from 1 species